rnacentral:rRNA from 1 species
UACGUAGGGUGCAAGCGUUAAUCGGAAUUACUGGGCGUAAAGGGCUCGUAGGCGGCCAACUAAGUCAUACGUGAAAUCCCUCAGCUUAACUGGGGAACUGCGUGUGAUACUGGAUGGCUUGGAUUUGGGAGAGGGAUGCGGAAUUCCAGGUGUAGCGGUGAAAUGCGUAGAUAUCUGGAGGAACACCGGUGGCGAAGGCGGCAUCCUGGACCAAUAUUGACGCUGAGGAGCGAAAGCCAGGGGAGCAAACGGG